rnacentral:rRNA from 1 species
UACGUAGGGGGCUAGCGUUGUCCGGAAUCAUUGGGCGUAAAGCGCGUGUAGGCGGUCCGGUAAGUCCGCUGUGAAAGUCGGGGGCUCAACCCUCGGAUGCCGGUGGAUACUGUCGGGCUUGAGUACGGAAGAGGCGAGUGGAAUUCCUGGUGUAGCGGUGAAAUGCGCAGAUAUCGUUUGGAACGCCAAUGGUGAAAACAGGUUGCUGGGAGUGCGCUGACGCUGAGACACGAAAGCCAGGGGAGCGAACGGG